rnacentral:rRNA from 1 species
CAGCAGUGGGGGAAUAUUGCACAAUGGGCGCAAGCCUGAUGCAGCCAUGCCGCGUGUAUGAAGAAGGCCUUCGGGUUGUAAAGUACUUUCAGCAGUGAGGAAGGUGGGGUAUGGUUAAUAGCAUAUUCAUUUGACGUUAGCUGCAGAAGAAAGCACCGGCUAACUCCGUGCCAGCAGCCGCGGUAAUACGGAGGGUGCGAGCGUUAAUCGGAAUUACUGGGCGUAAAGCGCAUGCAGGUGGUUUGUUAAGUCAGAUGUGAAAGACCCGGGGCCGUUAACCUUCCGGAAUUGCAUUUGUAAACUAGGCAGGCUAGAGUCUUGUAGAGGGGGGUAGGAAUUUCUAGGUGUAGCGGUGAAAUAGCGUAGAGAUCUGAAGGAAUACCAGUGGCGAAGGCGGCCCCCUCGGACAAAGACUGACGCUCAGAUGCGAAAGCGUGGGGAGCAAACAGGAUUAGAUACCCUGGUAG